UUGAUCCUGGCUAGGGAUGAACGCUGGCGGCGUGCCUAACACAUGCAAGUCGAACGGGGACAGGAUGAAACCUAGUGAUUCCUGUCUUAGUGGCGGACGGGUGAGUAACGCGUGGGUAACCUGCCUUGUACUGGGGGAUAACACCUGGAAACAGGUGCUAAUACCGCAUAAGCGCACAGKMYCGCAUGGKMCGGUGUGAAARRSUCSGSYGGUACAAGAUGGACCCGCGUCUGAUUAGCCAGUUGGGGGGGUAACGGCCCACCAAAGCGACGAUCAGUAGCCGGCCUGAGAGGGUGAACGGCCACAUUGGGACUGAGACACGGCCCAAACUCCUACGGGAGGCAGCAGUGGGGAAUAUUGCACAAUGGGGGGAACCCUGAUGCAGCAACGCCGCGUGAGUGAAGAAGUGAUUCGUUAUGUAAAGCUCUAUCAGCAGGGAAGAARAUGACGGUACCUGAGUAAGCAGCCCCGGCUAACUACGUGCCAGCAGCCGCGGUAAUACGUAGGGGGCAAGCGUUAUCCGGAUUUACUGGGUGUAAAGGGAGCGUAGACGGCCACGCAAGUCUGAAGUGAAAUGCCAGUGCUCAACACUGGAACUGCUUUGGAAACUGUGAGGCUGGAGUGCAGGAGAGGUAAGUGGAAUUCCUAGUGUAGCGGUGAAAUGCGUAGAUAUUAGGAGGAACACCAGUGGCGAAGGCGGCUUACUGGACUGUAACUGACGUUGAGGCUCGAAGGCGUGGGGAGCAAACAGGAUUAGAUACCCUGGUAGUCCACGCGGUAAACGAUGAUUACUAGGUGUCGGGGGGUUAUAACCCUUCGGUGCCGCCGCAAACGCAAUAAGUAAUCCACCUGGGGAGUACGUUCGCAAGAAUGAAACUCAAAGGAAUUGACGGGGACCCGCACAAGCGGUGGAGCAUGUGGUUUAAUUCGAAGCAACGCGAAGAACCYUACCUGAUCUUGACAUCCCCCUGACCGGCCCGUAAUGGGGCUUUCCCUUCGGGGCAGGGGAGACAGGUGGUGCAUGGUUGUCGUCAGCUCGUGUCGUGAGAUGUUGGGUUAAGUCCCGCAACGAGCGCAACCCUUAUCCUUAGUAGCCAGCAGUAAGAUGGGAACUCUAGGGAGACUGCCGGGGAUAACCCGGAGGAAGGUGGGGAUGACGUCAAAUYAUCAUGCCCCUUAUGACCAGGGCUACACACGUGCUACAAUGGCGUAAACAAAGGGAGGCGAGACCGYGAGGUAGAGCAAAUCCCAAAAAUAACGUCYCAGUUCGGAUUGUAGUCUGCAACUCGACUACAUGAAGCUGGAAUCGCUAGUAAUCGCAGAUCAGAAUGCUGCGGUGAAUACGUUCCCGGGUCUUGUACACACCGCCCGUCACACCAUGGGAGUUGGAAAUGCCCGAAGUCAGUGACCCAACCKAAMGGGGGGAGCUGCCGAAGGCAGGUCUGAUAACUGGGGUGAAGUCGUAACAAGGUAGCCGUA
rnacentral:rRNA from 1 species